CUGCCAGGAUCUGCAGACGGAUUUGUUCGGGAGCGUAAGAGAAGCAGAGGAAUCAAGGAUGACUCCAGGAUUUCUGGCCCGGUCAACUGAAAGAUGGAACUGCACUUUACUGCAAAGACAAAGACAAGGAAAGAAUAGGCUGGUGGCUGGGGCGGUGGGGGCGGGGCGGCCACAAAACUCGGGGGCUAACGUGUUUCGUUUGAGAUGGCCAUUAGGCAGGCUAAGGGCAGGAGGGCGGCGGGCUACGCAAGCCGAGACGAGGGUUGGGUUGCUGACACGCUUGGGAGCCAUCAAAGUAUAAAAGGAGCUUAAAGCCACCAGAUAGGAUGAGAUUCAGUGUCCUUCUGAAGCCUCAGCCUGGGACACUCCAGCCUCUGAGGACAGGAAGAAGGAGCACAUUCAGCAAAAUAGAAUGAGCCAGCACAACCUGUGAGGCUGGAGGAGAUUCUAGAGCAAGCGCACUUUGUACCCUGGAGGCCACAUGAAAAGAGACAAAGUGUCUUAAGAAAGAGUGACCGUUUGUGUCAAAUGCUGGCAGGGAAAGAUAAGGACACAGGAACGAACAACUGAAGUGGACAAUGUGAAGGCAGUUUCCAUGGAAUGCUGGAGACAAAGCCAUUCUGAAGAGAAUGGAAGGGAAGAGAGAGACAAGAAAAGACAAGCCUCGCGAGGAGUGUCUCCCCAAAGAAUAUACGGCACCCCAGCAGUUUGGAUAAACUUGAGGUGAUGCUUCACAGCACGACGGUGCUUUACCAAACACAUUUCGGGAGACGGACAGGGAGCCUGUAGCUUCUCCGUAUGCAGAGGCCAGCACAUCGAUGACCGCCUUUGCUCCAUCGUCCGCUUCCAGGAAUAAUUUACUCAUCUUAUUCCUCGUGGCUAUUGAUCUUUCCGAAGACCCCAACUAGUAACAAGGUGAAACAAAUAAAAAGACUUCCUACUCUCUCAACUAAACUGUGCUAGAGAUGGUAAAUUUGGAACUCUGCCGGUUACUGCCUGGAGUCGAAAGUUUGGGCAAUUGGCUACCCCUUUUCUCCAGAGGCCCUGUGCCUCACACACAAUUCGGAUUCUAGUUCCAGCUACAGAAAGCACUUCCCUACCCUUUCAUAGAAAUUUUUGGCCAUGACAUUGGUUAAGAAAUUCUGCCUUUUCAGUAAAUGCAUUUUACAGAAACAAAUUAUAUUACUUUGAAAUAACAAUAAAAAUCUCCAAGGACAACAGUUUACUUGAUCUUUAUAGUUUCUAGAGCCAAAGGGG